GACGGAGGGGGCAAGCGUUGUUCGGAAUUAUUGGGCGUAAAGGGCGCGUAGGCGGAUUGGUAAGUCUGACGUGAAAUCUCCACCACUUAACGGGGAGAGGUCGUUGGAAACUGCCGAUCUGGAGUUUGGCAGAGGGUCGUGGAAUUCCAGGUGUAGCGGUGGAAUGCGUAGAUAUCUGGAAGAACACCGGUGGCGAAGGCGGCGACCUGGGCCAAAACUGACGCUGAGGCGCGAAAGCCAGGGGAGCAAACGGG
rnacentral:rRNA from 1 species